rnacentral:sRNA from 2 species
UCAAAUAUUCAGCCGAAUUUCUUUAAAGAAAACGGGGGAACCAACUUGUCGCCGAGUGCAAAUUUGUAUUCGGUGAUUCCGGGGUGAAUUCCUGCCGCGCCUUAAGCGUGCGGAGGAUAGGGCAGCCUGUUCUAGCCCGAACCCGUCAGCUAACCUCGUAGGCUGCUUACGGAACAGGA